AGGAAAUGAGUGUUCUGCCAUGUGGGAGAGCUGCUCCCUCCCUGGAAGGGGGCACCCCUGUGUGCACAGAGCCUGAGCCCCUCCCUUCACUGAUGGGAGCUUUCCCGGAGCUAAUCCCAGAGGAGAGGCCCUGCCAGGCGUAAUCUUGGAUCAGAUGCCAGGGAGUGAAGGAUGGUGACACCCCCACACAGGCCUGAUGUGCAGGGUGAAGGCAGACGGCAGCCCAGGGGUCUCUCCUCCCCUGCCAACCUCCGUUCUGUGCCCUGGCGGUGA
rnacentral:lncRNA from 1 species